AACGAACGCUGGCGGCAUGCCUAACACAUGCAAGUCGAACGAGACCUUCGGGUCUAGUGGCGCACGGGUGCGUAACGCGUGGGAACCUGCCUUUAGGUUCGGAAUAACUCAGAGAAAUUUGAGCUAAUACCGGAUGAUGUCUUCGGACCAAAGAUUUAUCGCCUUUAGAUGGGCCCGCGUUGGAUUAGCUAGUUGGUGGGGUAAAGGCCUACCAAGGCGACGAUCCAUAGCUGGUCUGAGUGGAUGAUCAGCCACACUGGGACUGAGACACGGCCCAGACUCCUACGGGAGGCAGCAGUGGGGAAUAUUGGACAAUGGGCGAAAGCCUGAUCCAGCAAUGCCGCGUGAGUGAUGAAGGCCUUAGGGUUGUAAAGCUCUUUUACCCGAGAUGAUAAUGACAGUAUCGGGAGAAUAAGCUCCGGCUAACUCCGUG
rnacentral:rRNA from 1 species